UACGGAGGGAGCUAGCGUUGUUCGGAAUUACUGGGCGUAAAGCGCACGUAGGCGGCUUUGUAAGUUAGAGGUGAAAGCCCGGAGCUCAACUCCGGAAUUGCCUUUAAGACUGCAUCGCUUGAAUCCAGGAGAGGUGAGUGGAAUUCCGAGUGUAGAGGUGAAAAUUCGUAGAUAUUCGGAAGAACACCAGUGGCGAAGGCGGCUCACUGGACUGGUAUUGACGCUGAGGUGGCGAAAGCGUGGGGAGCAAACAGG
rnacentral:rRNA from 1 species